rnacentral:rRNA from 1 species
UGGUGGGUAGUUUGACUGGGGCGGUCUCCUCCUAAAGAGUAACGGAGGAGCACGAAGGUUGGCUAAUCCUGGUCGGACAUCAGGAGGUUAGUGCAAUGGCAUAAGCCAGCUUGACUGCGAGCGUGACGGCGCGAGCAGGUGCGAAAGCAGGUCAUAGUGAUCCGGUGGUUCUGAAUGGAAGGGCCAUCGCUCAACGGAUAAAAGGUACUCCGGGGAUAACAGGCUGAUACCGCCCAAGAGUUCAUAUCGACGGCGGUGUUUGGCACCUCGAUGUCGGCUCAUCACAUCCUGGGGCUGAAGUAGGUCCCAAGGGUAUGGCUGUUCGCCAUUUAAAGUGGUACGCGAGCUGGGUUUAGAACGUCGUGAGACAGUUCGGUCCCUAUCUGCCGUGGGCGCUGGAGAACUGAGGGGGGCUGCUCCUAGUACGAGAGGACCGGAGUGGACGCAUCACUGGUGUUCGGGUUGUCAUGCCAAUGGCACUGCCCGGUAGCUAAAUGCGGAAGAGAUAAGUGCUGAAAGCAUCUAAGCACGAAACUUGCCCCGAGAUGAGUUCUCCCUGACUCCUUGAGAGUCCUGAAGGAACGUUGAAGACG